CCUACGGGGGGCAGCAGUGGGGAAUUUUGGACAAUGGGCGAAAGCCUGAUCCAGCAAUGCCGCGUGAGUGAAGAAGGCCUUCGGGUUGUAAAGCUCUUUUGUCAGGGAAGAAACGGUGAGGGCUAAUAUCUCUUGCUAAUGACGGUACCUGAAGAAUAAGCACCGGCUAACUACGUGCCAGCAGCCGCGGUAAUACGUAGGGUGCAAGCGUUAAUCGGAAUUACUGGGCGUAAAGCGUGCGCAGGCGGUUUUGUAAGUCUGAUGUGAAAUCCCCGGGCUCAACCUGGGAAUUGCAUUGGAGACUGCAAGGCUAGAAUCUGGCAGAGGGGGGUAGAAUUCCACGUGUAGCAGUGAAAUGCGUAGAUAUGUGGAGGAACACCGAUGGCGAAGGCAGCCCCCUGGGUCAAGAUUGACGCUCAUGCACGAAAGCGUGGGGAGCAAACAGGAUUAGAUACCCCAGUAGUC
rnacentral:rRNA from 1 species